GAGGACCGUAUUCAUGGAAGAGGAUUGAACAGACUACUGAGUUCUUAAGAGAAAAAUGGCACUUAAGAAAUUGAUGGUGAUAUCAAAGGAAGGUUACUUAUUACUCUUGGACUUUGAUGAUGAGGACGAUGACAUAAAAGUUUCAGAGGAGGCUCUUGCGGAAGUAAAGAGCCCAGGAUUUGAUAAAAAUGAGAAUGUAUCGCCUCAAGCAGAAGCAGAUGAAUAUAUGGGAGAUGAAGUAGACAGUAUGUUGGAUAAAUCUGGAGUAAAGAACCCAGCAAUUGGUAAAGAUGAGAAUAUAUCGCCUCAAGUAAAAGGAGAUGAAGACAUGGGAGAUGAAAUUGACAGUAUGUUGGCUACAUCUGGAGGUCUUUUCUCCUGAGAACACGGGACUCCAGCAUCUUCGGAUUCUGCUCUUGGAGGGGUUUGCCCCACAUCCUCUAUAUUGCAGAAAACAAGACUAGGCUCUACCUCUGUAGAUCAAGCACGACUGAAAUCCGUGCUCUCAAAAGAUGCUGGGGAGAAAGAGUGCCAUUCUUCACAAAUGCUGAUGUGUGCAGCUGAACAGAGCGUUGAGGAGACGUCAGUGGUUUUAUAGCUGCUUGUCAUGUUGGGGGAUUGUUGUGAUGAUUGCCUGGACUCUCAGAUGUUACACAGGAUAAGAGAGAGUCCAGGCGAUAGUCGGAACGAUCUUCCGAUGUGAUGGGUAGUUGUACAAGCAUUGAUGUUUCCUCAAGGCUGUGUUCACCUGCACACGUCGCUGCAUCAUUGGACUGAAAGUGAAUGGCCCAUGUGUUGCCACUGAUGUGAGCCAUUUGCCUGUUGUGCUUCAA
rnacentral:precursor_RNA from 1 species